CCUACGGGCGGCUGCAGUGAGGAAUAUUGGUCAAUGGACGAGAGUCUGAACCAGCUAAGUAGCGUGAAGGAUGACUGCCCUAUGGGUUGUAAACUUCUUUUAUAUGGGAAUAAAAUGUUCCACGUGUGGGAUUUUGUAUGUACCAUAUGAAUAAGGAUCGGCUAACUCCGUGCCAGCAGCCGCGGUAAUACGGAGGAUCCGAGCGUUAUCCGGAUUUAUUGGGUUUAAAGGGAGCGUAGGUGGAUUGUUAAGUCAGUUGUGAAAGUUUGCGGCUCAACCGUAAAAUUGCAGUUGAAACUGGCAGUCUUGAGUACAGUAGAGGUGGGCGGAAUUCGUGGUGUAGCGGUGAAAUGCUUAGAUAUCACGAAGAACUCCGAUGGCGAGGGCAGUUCACUGGACUGCAACUGACACUGAGGCUCGAAAGUGUGGGUAUCAAACAGGAUUAGAUACCCUGGUAGUC
rnacentral:rRNA from 1 species